rnacentral:rRNA from 1 species
GGGGUUUUUUUAAAAUUUUUUUUUCAGCUUCCGAUGAACGCUGGCGGCAGGCCUAACACAUGCAAGUCGAGCGGUAGCACAGAGAGCUUGCUCUCGGGUGACGAGCGGCGGACGGGUGAGUAAUGUCUGGGAAACUGCCUGAUGGAGGGGGAUAACUACUGGAAACGGUAGCUAAUACCGCAUAACGUCGCAAGACCAAAGUGGGGGACCUUCGGGCCUCAUGCCAUCAGAUGUGCCCAGAUGGGAUUAGCUAGUAGGUGGGGUAACGGCUCACCUAGGCGACGAUCCCUAGCUGGUCUGAGAGGAUGACCAGCCACACUGGAACUGAGACACGGUCCAGACUCCUACGGGAGGCAGCAGUGGGGAAUAUUGCACAAUGGGCGCAAGCCUGAUGCAGCCAUGCCGCGUGUAUGAAGAAGGCCUUCGGGUUGUAAAGUACUUUCAGCGGGGAGGAAGGCGAUAAGGUUAAUAACCUUGUCGAUUGACGUUACCCGCAGAAGAAGCACCGGCUAACUCCGUGCCAGCAGCCGCGGUAAUACGGAGGGUGCAAGCGUUAAUCGGAAUUACUGGGCGUAAAGCGCACGCAGGCGGUCUGUCAAGUCGGAUGUGAAAUCCCCGGGCUCAACCUGGGAACUGCAUUCGAAACUGGCAGGCUAGAGUCUUGUAGAGGGGGGUAGAAUUCCAGGUGUAGCGGUGAAAUGCGUAGAGAUCUGGAGGAAUACCGGUGGCGAAGGCGGCCCCCUGGACAAAGACUGACGCUCCAGUGCGAAAUGAGCGG